rnacentral:rRNA from 1 species
GAUGAACGCUAGCGGCAGGCUUAACACAUGCAAGUCGAGGGGUAGAAGUUGCUUGCAACUUUGAGACCGGCGCACGGGUGCGUAACGCGUAUGCAAUCUACCUUAUACAGAGGGAUAGCCCAGAGAAAUUUGGAUUAAUACCUCAUAGUAUAAUUGAAUGGCAUCAUUUAAUUAUUAAAGUUCCAACGGUAUAAGAUGAGCAUGCGUCCUAUUAGCUAGAUGGUAAGGUAACGGCUUACCAUGGCAACGAUAGGUAGGGGUCCUGAGAGGGAGACCCCCCACACUGGUACUGAGACACGGCCCAGGCUCCAACGGGAGGCAGAAGUGAGAAAUAUUGGACAAUGGGCGCAAGCCUGAUCCAGCCAUGCCGCGUGCAGGAAGAAGCAUCUAUGGUGUGUAAACUGCUUUUGUACGGGAAGAAACACCCCUUCGUGAAGGGACUUGACGGUACCGUAAGAAUAAGGAUCGGCUAACUCCGUGCCAGCCGCCGCCGUAACAC